GUUCACGCGUCACAUGUGACGUUAGUUAGCGCCGCUUAGCUAGAACAAAUUUUCAUACCAAAUCUAAAUCCCUUUUUCUCACUCAGCAUUCCUUUUUUUUUCUUUUCCAAGUUUUGCAGGGAAAACAAAAUCUAUUUUCCUAUAACGUGGCAUCAUCCUGUUCGUUCAUUUAAUCUAUAAACAGCAUCUUUUUCUCCCUCUAACAACCAUAACUCUUCUGCAUAUACGUUUUUUGCAGCCGCCUCUAAUUCGCUUGGUGCAGGUCGGGACUCAUUCUCUAGUGCCGGCGCCGGCACCGGCGCCGGCAAUGACGACGGUCUGCGGCGGAGACUACGGCGGCGACGUUAUUGCGGAGGAAUUUGAGUCCUGCCUUGCAUCAACUGAAUUGGAGACCGCUGUGAAUUUAAGUAUUUUUUCCAUUGAUUUCAGCUGAAUCAGAUUCGUUCGACAUCGAUCUUCAGGUAUAUUGAAGAUGGAUGAUGGUGAUAAUAUAUAUAGACAGUUGAUGAUUCGAAAUUUGAAAGAAGUUCUAUGGCCACAAGGAAGUGUUUUCUCUGUGGUCUUUGUUGAAUGCAAAGGCAAAGCAGGGAGGGAAUCUUUUAUGGUGUUGUAUUUGCUCUGUUUAAACAGGUAUAUAUAUCCUCUUGGACUGAUAUAGCAAGAAGGGAAUAUGUAGGACCUGUAGCAGGAAGGGAAUAUAUUGCUGCUGGCAAGAUUUCAAGGAUAUAAGACCACUGGCAAGUGUGGACCAUAGGUAAGCUAUGGAAUAAAAUAGAAUUCUCUAAAUGUAAGCCUGCUUGCCCAUGGUAUUUUUUAUCCAUUCAUUUUUUCUGGAUAAGUAUCCUUAUUCUGAAGCUUUGGCGUAAUUAGUAAAGUUGUUGUUAUGUAACCAGCUGGUCACAGAUGGAAGCCGUGCAGAAAUGCAGGGUAAGACUACGUUUAAUAGAUCCUUGUAGUCUACCUCUUCCCCAAACCUUGCACAUAGCGAAAACUUUAGUGUAGCGAGGUACUUUAUUUAGUAUUUUUCUUUUCUCUACAAACAUUUGUUGGUCAAAGUUGAAUAAAGGAAGGCUUUUUUCUUUUAAA